AGUUUGAUUCGUGGCUCAAGGACGAACGCUGGCGGCGUGCCUAACACAUGCAAGUCGAACGGAGUUCUUGUGGAAGUCCUUCGGGGCGGAAGCUUGGACUUAGUGGCGAACGGGUGAGUAACGCGUGAGCAACCUGCCUUUCAGAGGGGGACAACGGUUGGAAACGACCGCUAAUACCGCAUAAUGCAUUGUAAUCGCAUGGUUGAAAUGCCAAAGAUUUUAUCGCUGAAAGAUGGGCUCGCGUCUGAUUAGAUAGUUGGUGGGGUAACGGCCUACCAAGUCGACGAUCAGUAGCCGGACUGAGAGGUUGAACGGCCACAUUGGGACUGAGAUACGGCCCAGACUCCUACGGGAGGCAGCAGUGGGGAAUAUUGGGCAAUGGGGGGCAACCCUGACCCAGCAACGCCGCGUGAAGGAAGAAGGCUUUCGGGUUGUAAACUUCUUUUACCAGGGACGAAGGACGUGACGGUACCUGGAGAAAAAGCCACGGCUAACUACGUGCCAGCCGCAGC
rnacentral:rRNA from 1 species